AGUCAAACAAAGAAGACACAUUUUAAACUUUGAAUGAACAGUUUGAAUUCAUUCCUGGUCUGAGGGCUCCUCCUCUGGUGGCUUCAUGUUACAAGUGUUCAGACACUGAGGGGUUUUUGUUCAGGUCUACUGAUCAUUUGUGUCACUGUGUGUCUCUGGCACAGUAAUACACAGCAGAGUCUUCAGGCUGCAUAUUCUGUCCAUUCA